rnacentral:rRNA from 1 species
CUGGGACGAAACCCCCGAUGAGGGGACUGACGGUACCGGGGUAAUAGCGCCGGCCAACUCCGUGCCAGCAGCCGCGGUAAUACGAGGGCGCGAGCGUUACCCGGGAUUUACUGGGCGUAAAGGGCGUGUAGGCGGCUUGGGGCGUCCCAUGUGAAAGGCCACGGCUCAACCGUGGAGGAGCGUGGGAUACGCUCAGGCUAGACGGUGGGAGAGGGUGGUGGAAUUCCCGGAGUAGCGGUGAAAUGCGCAGAUACCGGGAGGAACGCCGAUGGCGAAGGCAGCCACCUGGCUCACCUGUGACGCUGAGGCGCGAAAGCGUGGGGAGCAAACCGGAUUAGAUACCCGGGUAGUCCACGCCCUAAACGAUGCGCGCUAGGUCUCUGGGUUAUCUGGGGGCCGAAGCCAACGCGUUAAGCGCGCCGCCUGGGGAGUACGGCCGCAAGGCUGAAACUCAAAGGAAUUGACGGGGGCCCGCACAAGCGGUGGAGCAUGUGGUUUAAUUCGAAGCAACGCGAAGAACCUUACCAGGCCUUGACAUGCUAGGGAACCUAGGUGAAAGCCUGGGGUGCCCCGCGAGGGGAGCCUUAGCACAGGUGCUGCAUGGCCGUCGUCAGCUCGUGUCGUGAGAUGUUGGGUUAAGUCCCGCAACGAGCGCAACCCCUGCCGUUAGUUGCCAGCGGGUUGAGCCGGGCACUCUAACGGGACUGCCUGCGAAAGCAGGAGGAAGGCGGGGACGACGUCUGGUCAUCAUGGCCCUUACGGCCUGGGCGACACACGUGCUACAAUGCCCACUACAGAGCGAGGCGACCUGGCAACAGGGAGCGAAUCGCAAAAAGGUGGGCGUAGUUCGGAUUGGGGUCUGCAACCCGACCCCAUGAAGCCGGAAUCGCUAGUAAUCGCGGAUCAGCCAUGCCGCGGUGAAUACGUUCCCGGGCCUU